rnacentral:lncRNA from 1 species
UGUGGUGCCAGGUGAGAUGGAGGGGGUGAAACAAGAAGGAGAACUUGGAGGGUGAGAGGGUGUAGAGAAGCGUGGAAUGAGACAAUGAGAGGAGCAAAGGAGGAAGUCGAAGGACGAGAUUUGAUUGUUUCUUAUUUCGAUCUACACUUGGGAGCGGGCAUCAUAAGCGUGUGUGGUUGUGAGGUAGGGGGCCAUAGUUCUCUACGACUCUAUAUGGAACAGCAACCAAGGCUUGAUUGAGACCAGAGUUCCUGGAGUGGAGAGCAUUUCCUGAGGAAUUUGUUAUAUAGAAAUAUAGAUUAUAUGAACUUAUGAAGCAGCCCAAUCAAUCAAUAGUUCUAGCCAUAGCUAUCAAGGUUACCU